rnacentral:lncRNA from 1 species
CAAUUAUUAGGUUUAUUUUUAAACAGACAGACUGAGAGUAUGCCAGUCACUUAGGGUGUGCUCUUCUUGGGGACAGCAUCCCUAAAGUGUACUUUUGUCGGUGACAGCCAGCCCUAAAGUGAUGCUUUGCUAAGUGGCAUACCAGGAUUUGAGACUAUCUCAUGUUCCCCUUACCAAAUUCCUACUGGGAUACCUUAUGCUGUUUCUCCUCU